AGAGUUUGAUCAUGGCUCAGAACGAACGCUGGCGGCGUGCCUAACACAUGCAAGUCGAGGGAGAAAAGGGGCUUCGGCUCCCCAGUAAACCGGCGCACGGGUGAGUAACACGUAGGUAACGUACCCUGGAGUCCGGGAUAACCAGUCGAAAGACUGGCUAAUACCGGAUACGACCACGAAGGCUCCGGCCUUUGUUGUGAAAAAUGGCCUCUGUUUACAUGCUAUCACUCCUGGAUCGGCCUGCGCACCAUUAGCUAGUUGGUGAGGUAAUGGCUCACCAAGGCUGAGAUGGUUAGCUGGUCUGAGAGGAUGGCCAGCCACACUGGGACUGAGACACGGCCCAGACUCCUACGGGAGGCAGCAGUGGGGAAUAUUGCGCAAUGGGGGAAACCCUGACGCAGCGACGCCGCGUGGGUGAUGAAGGCCUUCGGGUCGUAAAGCCCUGUCGGGAGGGAAGAAACAGUCCGGGCCUAAUACGUCCGGGCAUUGACGGUACCUCCUAAGGAAGCACCGGCUAACUCCGUGCCAGCAGCCGCGGUAAUACGGAGGGUGCUAGCGUUGUUCGGAAUCACUGGGCGUAAAGGGCGUGUAGGCGGCUUGCUAAGUCUGAUGUGAAAUCCCCUCGCUCAACGAGGGAACUGCGUCGGAUACUGGCAAGCUUGAGUACCGGAGAGGAAGGUGGAAUUCCCGGUGUAGCGGU
rnacentral:rRNA from 1 species